rnacentral:misc_RNA from 1 species
GUCAUAACAAUCUACAGUGCAAGCAACGAGACUAAUUCUUUGGAAGAAAGUAGUGAUUAUGUUUCUCCAGCUCAGGAGGCUUUGUUCAAAGUCCACGAUAGAGUUGUGGCUGACGACUUUAUGGAUGAGGACUCUGAAGGAGGAGGUCACCAGGUUACAGCUAGACUUCUGGUACCAUCUGAUCAAAUUGGUUGUAUAAUCGGGAAAGGUGGGCAGAUUGUCCAGAAUAUUCGCACUGAGACUGGGGCGCAGGUUCGCAUUCUUAAGGAUGAUCAUUUACCACGUUGUGCUUUGAGUUCUGAUGAACUUGUGCAGAUAUCUGGUGAACCCCUGAUUGUGAAGAAAGCGUUGUACCAGAUUGCAUCUCGACUGCAUGACAAUCCAUCACGAUCUCAGCAUCUACUCGCUUCUGCCAUACCUGG